rnacentral:rRNA from 1 species
AUGCAUGUCUAAGUACACGCCUCAUUAAGGUGAAACCGCGAAUGGCUCAUUAAAUCAGUUAUAAUUUAUUGGUCCGAGACAGUAAAACUUGGUAUAACUGUGGUAAUUCUAGAGCUAAUACAUGCAACCAUGCCCCGGCCCCACGGUCCGGUGGGGCCCUUUUGUUGGCAAAACCAAACCUGGGAACACCCUCGUGGCGUUGUUCUCCGAUGAAUCUGGAUAACUUUGCGAAUCGCACGGCCUUGUGCCGGCGAUGUAUCUUUCAAGUGUCUGCCCUAUCAACUUUCGACGGUAGGCUAUUGGCCUACCGUGGUGAUGACGGGUAACGGGGAAUCAGGGUUCGAUUCCGGAGAGGGAGCCUGAGAAACGGCUACCACAUCCAAGGAAGGCAGCAGGCGCGUAACUUACCCACUCCCAGAACGGGGAGGUAGUGACGAAAAAUAACAAUGCGGGUCUCUUUAACCGAGGCUCGUAAUUGGAAUGAGUACAACUUAAAUCCUUUAACGAGGAUCGAUUGGAGGGCAAGUCUGGUGCCAGCAGCCGCGGUAAUUCCAGCUCCAAUAGCGUAUAUUAAAGUUGUUGCAGUUAAAAAGCUCGUAGUUGGAUCAUGGGAUGCGGUGUUGUGGUCC